CGUUGAAGUUGUCACAUUCAGUCUAAUAACGUGUCUUUCUUGAAUUUUCAUAUGGUCUAUUGUGUUCACAUAUGGUGUUAAAAAGAAAGUUAUGAACCAAGAUGUUAGUGAAGGCUUCCUCACAUAAGAAUAGCAGUCAUCGAAUUCAAAAUCCCAGGGAUGUAAAUGCCCUCCGCUUUGGUGAGUGCCCUCGCAGCCUGGCACAUUUCAGCGAAUCCAGGGGCUGGAGUGGAGGAGGUGUAAUUAGGCUGAUUGGAGCCUAUUGUGCUGCUCUGCGGCGCGCGGGACAGGAGCAGCCUCCGGGACAGGAGCAGCCUCCGGGAGUGUGAGUGCCUCAGGAUCACUGGGGAAUGAUGUCCUCUUUCCUCAAAAUAACGGAGCAGAAAUACUGAAGCUACACUGUUUCUCCCCUUCUUUGUUUUUCCAACACCCCCCCCCGCGCCAAAUUAAUUGUGAUCCUUAUCCCGAACCCUAAAAACUGACUUUUAUUGUGCAUUUGUUUCUUAACAGUUGCGAGAAACAAUCAAAGCUGGCAAAGGUGUGACUUCAGCUAUUGACCUGUGUCGUUACCAUGGAAACAAGGCACUGGAGGCCCUGGAGAGCUUCCCUCCCUCGGAGGCCAGAUCGGCUUUAGAAAACAUUGUGUUUGCUGUGACCAGAUUUUCAUGACACCAAAUUAAAAAGACCCUAUUGUUCCUUAGCUGAAAAACCUAGGGAAUGAGGUGAUUGGAAGAGCUUUUGUGAGGAAAUAUCUAAACGUGUUUAUGAUUUUAAAAUAUACACAUUUUCCCCCUUCCUUUUAUCACAUUGCUAAAAUGAAUACUGCCUUCAUUUUGGAACUGCUACAAACAAAAUUAGAAGGAAAAAAAAAAAGGUCAAGCAGUUUUCACUUGUCACGCCAGAAGCACACUUGAGGCUGCAGCAGCAGAAAUAAUUAAUGAGAUUCGCUCCUGUGACCUCAGCAAAUGGACAGGAAAUAAGUCCUUAUUGAUUGGACCGAGCCACGGAUGGCGCCAGGGCGGUGGCCUGUGGUUUUCCUUCUAGAGAGGACAGAGCAAGCUGGAAGCUGCAGGUGUCAAGAGAAACACUCUGGAUCCCAGCCAGGAAGGAUUGUCAAAUCAGAAACCACUGAUCCAUCUGUCAAAAUGGAGAAGAGUUCAGUGAAUUAAGAAAAAAUAUGCUUUCUUUGUCAUCUUGCAAUUAUGUCUCUAUUUAUAGAUACAAUAUGAAUAUUUGGAAUAUCAUGGUUUUUAUAAGAUUUGGGGGUAGGAGGGAAAUUGCUGAAAAAGUUGCCAAAUAUUUAAAGUAGGAGAUUAAAUGUUAUCUUGG
rnacentral:lncRNA from 1 species